UAUGUCUUGCAUGUGAUACUUCUUGAGCUAUAGACUUUGCUUUAUCCAUUGUCUUUUUUACAGUAGAUCCGAAAAAACGUUUGAGCUUCUGGGUUUUCUUUCGUACUCGUCCCACUGCCACAUCUUCAUCAGGAGAGAUAACGGAUCCAUACAUUGUGGCAACUUGUCUUCAGCAAUGCUCAGUGGAACCCUCUCUCCAGUGUCCAAGUUCAACACAGAUACCUGUUCCAGAAUUUCCUAGUCAGUUCUUGUUCGGACAACCAUGUUCAGCUGUUUUAUCAUAUCUUGAUCACCGGCAGAUCUACGUCUUUCUCUUGAACCUUGCGCAAGAAAACCAGUUAGCCGAUGUGGACCCAGUGAACUACGUCCUAUACUAUUACUCGACACAGACCCAAGUGGACUAUUUGACAUCUCGCUAGAACGUAAAAUCUCAAUUGACUGCACACAUACCUGAGGUUUGACAACAUAUUGUCCUUUGAUAGCUGAACGAAUAUCGAGAGAGUGCUCAAAUUCUCUGGUAAUGGACUCUAUGGUAGACGCUGGGCUAGGCAGUGGUGAGGCAGGAAUGAGUUCUUCAAUAACGGGUGGCUAAAAUCAAAUGAGAUUAAUCAAGUUGGGAAUAAACAUCUGUGUAGUGAACUGGAACCCUGUGAGUUGAAAUUACUUUAUCAACUAUCAAUGUGUAGAAUCGUUUAGAAUAUGAUAUAUUGCAUCAAAAAAUAACAUUUAAUGACAUGAAAAAUCUUCAAUUCACUAAAAGAUACGAGAAAGAUUACAAUAUCUUACAGUAAGA